ACGCUGGGCAGAGCCCUGUUUGCUCU
rnacentral:piRNA from 1 species